GCUGUUGUGGCCUAGUGGACAUUGUGAUUGACUGGAGAUCAGAAGAUCGCCGGUUCGAUCCCCAGCUUCA